UUGAGGGUUGAGUUAUGAGUAAAUCAAUUAAGUAUAAUAUAUUUUAUCUAACUUAUCAAUAACUUAACAAUAAAUUAUAACGAUUUCAUAAUUUGAAUAAUUUUUUUUUGAAAGGUAAAACCGUAAUUUCCAUAAACCAAAACCAAAAUCAGAGUGCAGCUUUAAUCAAAAACAAAACCAUCUGAAAUCAACAAAAACUAAAAAACAGGAAACCCGGUAGAAAAACUUCAGAACACCCUUGAAUCUUUUUCGUUGAACUGAAUCAUAGCCUACAAUGUAAGAAUCAGGCGAGUCCGAAUGAACCCAUCCAAAUCAGUCAUCCGUUUGGGAAGCCUCUCUCAUCUCUUCUGCAACCACCAUGUCCCUUACUGCCGACGGGGAAUCCUCCAUCCAAAAGGUAUUUUCCGAUCUGCAACUCCCCUUCCUUGCAAUAAAGUGUGCCACCCGAUUAGCUUCCCUUCUUACAUGUUUAAAUCUAAGUUGAUGAAAAAAUCGCCCCAUCGAUUUGAUAUCUAAGAUGACAGAAUCCAAGUCUGCUCGACCAAACCCUUCCUGGUUAAUUUUCUCAAUUACCGUUCUCGAAUCUCCUUCAACCUCCACUGUGGUAAACCCCGUCUCUUUGGCAAAAAGAAGCCCUUGAAAGCAAGCAACAGCUUCUGCCAUGAAUGCAUCUGAGACAUUGCCAUGAUGAGUAACUCCACUUCCCAUUACCUUUCCUCUCCCAUCUCUAAUAAUAAAACCUGAACAUGAUUUGUUUGUUUGGGUUUUGUAGGCUGCAUCAAAGUUCAGUUUAACCCACGGCUCUUGAGGUGGUCUCCAACAGUCUGAACCCACUGCCUUUAUUACAGGUAGUUUCUCAUUCAACACUUUCAAUUCUUCAACCAUGCUUAGAAUUUUUGCUAUUGUACUCUGCCUUGUUGUUGAGAUACCUUCCAUCACUUGUUUGUUACGAGCCCACCAUAUUGCCCAAAUCGCUAUGACCACCUUCUCCCAUAUCCUCUCUGCCUUAUGUUGAACAAGGUGAAUAAACCAAUGCCAAAAAGUCUCCAAAUUCAAAUUACUAUCCCAGGAAAUGCCUAUUCCAUCCCAAAUUUCUUUUACAUUAUUACAAUCUAGUUUUAGAUAGGGGAAUACAUUUGAUCGCUUCCACCUCCUCAUCAGAAAAAAGACUGGAGAUUAGCUCUUCUUUCCAUAUUCGAUUUUCCUGAUCAAUUAGUUGACUCACUGUUUGAACUGAACCAUGAAUGGGUUGUGUGUUAAUCUUGUUCCCCACCAAUUGUGGUACCCACCUAUCUUGCCAAAUCGAUAUGUUCUCACCUGUUCCAACCCUUCAUCCCAGCUUACAUUCCAGUAACCCUCGUGCCGCAUAUAUACUUUUCCAAUUAUACGACGGAUUAGUCCCAAGUCUAGCUUCCCAAAAGGUUGAUCGAGGGUAAUACUUAGCUUUGUAAAUUCUGGCUAACAAUGAUUCUGGAUUAACCACUAAUCGCCAUCCUUGUUUAGCUAACAAAGCAAUAUUAAAUUUCCCCAUGUCUCGAAAAUUUAAUCCACCCCUCUCUUUAGCUUUACAUAAUUCAGACCAACAGCUCCAAUGUAAACCUCGACGAUUACCUCCAUUGCUCCACCAGAAUCUAUUCAGAACUUUUUCCAUAUCGACACAUAACGAUUUCGGAAUGAGAAAGCAGGACAUGGCGUAAAUCGGGAUAGCCUGUAGCACUGCUUUGAUGAAAACCUCUUUACCCCCUUGAGAAAGCAUCCGACUUUCCCACCCAUUCAUCCUUUUCCUCAAUCUAUCAAUGAUAUUUUGAAACGCCUCUUUCUUCUUUCUCCCCACCAUAGUAGGCAAUCUUAGAUACUUUUCCACGCUCGAGACUGUUCUAACACCCAUCCUAUUAGUUAAAGAAUCUCGUCUGUCCAUAGAGCAAUUAGAACUAAAUAAAAUUUGAGACUUUUCCAUGUUAAUCCUCUGGCCUGACGCUUUCUCGUACGUCUCAAUGAAAUCCAUCACCCGUCUACAUCCAUCUUCAUUCGCAUCACCAAAUAUUAUACUAUCAUCCGCAAAAAAUAAAUGAGUUACCCUCGGACCUCCCCUACACACACGAGCUCCCUUAAUUAACCCAAUCUGCAUGGUUUUCUUUAGGAUAGUUGAAAAACCUUCCGUACAGAUAAGAAACAGAUAGGGACUCAAUGGAUCUCCCUGUCUAAGUCCACGUCCUGGUUGGAAAUACUCACUCAAUCUCCCGUUAACCGUCACCGCAUACUAGAUCGAAGAAAUACAAAGAUAAAUCAGCUCCACCCAUUUCGUCUAUUUUUAAAAGAAUGAAGAAUUUCAUAAGCUGCAAGAAUGUUAUCAGUAAUAAGCCGACUAGGAACAAAUGCUCCUUGGGCAUCGUCAAUACACACUUCCAAAACUCUUUUAAACGUGUUUGCAAUAACUUUCGCAAUAAUUUUAUACAGCACCGUACAUAGACUUAUAGGCCGGAACGACGUCAUACAAUCUGGCGCUGAGACUUUUGGGAUUAAAACAAUAAUUAUGGAAUUUACCUCGUUUAAACUGGCCUCCCUAUUAAGCACACCCAAGCAAAAUUUUGUGCCAUCCUCGCCAACAAUUCCCCAAAAUUUUUUAAAGAACACCGCUUGAAAGCCAUCAAAUCCUGGUGCUUUAGUUCCUCCCAUUUCCAUAACAGCCUUGCUAAUUUCUUCAGCUCGAAAAUCUUCCAAUAGCAUACUGUUCAUCUCGUCAGUUAUUGUUUGCUGCACCCCUUCGAAAAUUUCUCGUGUCCCCCUGCAUCCUUCACUGGAGAAUAACCCUUUAAAGUAAUUAGUAGCAAUCCGCAUCAAAUCAUCUUCCUUGUCUUUCAUUGACCCAUCCUCAUCUUUUAGUCCAACAAUCCUAUUUUUACGACGUCUACUUGAAGCACAAUUAUGAAAAAAGCUAGUGUUCCGACCACCAUAUCGUAACCAAUUCGCUCUACCCCGAUGUUCCCAAUAUAAUUCCUCCUUAUCCAUCUCUAAGUUUAGCUCUAAUUUAGUUUGAAUUGUCGCCUCAAUGAUUUCAUCUGAAGGUUCUUCCGCCGUUAAAAUAUGCAAACGCCUUGUUAAUAUCUCCAUGACCUCCCCUCUCUCCUUCUUCAAUCUGUUUAUCCACCUAUUCAGCCCCUCCCCCACCAUCGUAAGUCUUUCAGGCACAAUCACAUUUUUAUUAGAAUCUCACAACGUUUGAACUUGUUCAGAACAUGAGUCUUCUAAUAACCACACCGUUUCAAACCGAAAAUGACCUCCCACUCUGGAUGAAGUGCCUGAACCAGAUGAUAGCUCUGUAUUCAAAAGCAAAGGGCAGUGGUCUGAAAUUGUAUUAUCUAUAUGGAGAAGACUGUAGGAUGGGAAAAUAUCCGACCAAGCUCGGUUCGCCACUCCCCUAUCUAGGCGUUCCCUUAUAUUAUUAACCCCAAAAUUUCCUCUUUCCCACGUAUACCAGCGACCAUUAUAUCCCAGAUCCACUAAAUUACAAUCUUCUAAAACUGUCCGAAAAGCUUCCAUCUGCCUAUCAUCCCUUAAUCGCCCUCCCUGUUUUUCUGAACGAAACAUAAUUUUGUUGAAAUCCCCUAUAACAACCCAAGGCAAAUCGUUACUCUCACCUAGCUGUCUUAAUAUGUUCCAAGAUUCAAAUCUCCUUCUAUUAUCAGGACUACCAUAAAACCCCGUUAUCCUCCAUUUCGUACCAUCCGCAUUAUUAUCAAAAACAACAUCAAUAAAAUUUUCUGACCAACUCAAAACAGAAACAUCCACCAUUUGACACCAGCUUAAAGAAAGGCCCCCUUUUGAGCCCUGAGCUGAGACAUCAAACCAUUCUCAAAACCGUACAUUCUUCUUAUCAUUUCCAUCCUAUUCCUCUCCACUUUCGUCUCCAUAAAGAAAACGAUUUGGGGAUAAUAUUUUUUCAGCACGUGCUGAACUUUUCGAACAAAUUGUGGAUUCCCCAGCCCACGGACGUUCCAGCUAAAAAUUUUCAUAAUGCUCGGCUGACCUGCCCAGCAGGUUCAGCCGUUUGAAUGAUUUGCCCUUCCUCAACCCCCUUUUUCCACCUCAAUUCUUCAAAAGGAGACCCAAAAUUAUCAUUAUUGGGCCUAGGUCUCUUUUUCCCAUCUCCUACAAUAAUGGGCUCAACUUCAUUCACUAUACCAACCUCCAUCAAAUCUGUUUUGCAUCCUUCCUCAUACAGAAUCUAUUUAGACUUUCCAUAUAAACUUAAGCCCAAAUUUGCUCCAUCAUUCCUCAUUAGAUUACUGCCAAAUAUCUUCUUUCCUUCAUCCUCACCCACAUUUCUAGCAACACCUUGAUUUCCUCCCCAAAAUCUGCUUGAAUCCCUUAACCAGAUGCUACUUCCCGCCACUGCCGCCCGUCGUGGUAGAGCUCUCAGCGAAAUAUCCCAUUCUAGUGGAAGCUUCUUCCUCCCUUCCAACUGUCUUUUGGGACAACAGUUUUCACUAUGUCCUAAUUUUCCACAUAAGAAGCAGAAAGUUGUCAGCCUUUCGUAUUUGAAAAUUGCAAAGAACUCUUUUUUUCCUACAACAAUUUUCUUCUUCCUCUUCAGAGACUGUCGGAUAUCCAUCUUAGCUCUGAUUCACAUAUAAUUUCUUAAUCCUCCCACAAUAGUUUUGCUAUCAUAAUCCACAAAAUUACCAAUGAAUUCUCCAAAUUGUCUAGCUAUUUUUUCUGUGAACAUUCCAGGAGGUAAAUUAUGAAUUUGAAUCCAAAACUCUGUGAAUAACAGAUCCACUUCUAAUGGGUCAUCACCAAGUUUUAAAUGAUGAAAGACAAGUGAUUGUUAAAGGUCCAUAGAGCACCCUUAACCACCCUGUCAAAAUCCAUUUCACAGUAAAAUUGAAACACAAAUCGUUUCUCCCCCACCUCCGUAAUAGAGAUUCCCGCCAAAGGGUGCCACAGAUUUGCCAUCACUGUCCUCAUUGAUUGGAAAUUGAUUAUCGUUGCUAUUAAAAAGCAUCCUACAAGGCACAAAUCUGAUAAAGGUUCUCCCUCCCCCACCUCCUCUUCAAUCUCCCAAGCCUCCAUCUCCCUACUGUCCCCCUCCUCUGUUAACCAUAAAUCUGCUAGCGCCUCCUCCAUUCAAAUCGAAAACACAAAACUCACAGUAGAACACUAGAACAAACAGAAGGAAAAAAAAUGCUACACAAGGAGCAUACUAUCGAACUUAAGCGAUUCCUGUAUUUAAUUAGGUUCUAAGUUUUUUUUGACCUAAUUAGUUACUAAUUUGAAUAAAUUUUUAAUGUAAACGUAUUAAUCUAGACUUUGACUAUAUUUAGAAACUGAUAUCAUAAUUAGAUUUAGUGUAAUUACAUGUGAUUAUACUGUUUUGACAUAUUUAAAUAACUAUUAUAACUAAUAAGCCCACUAACUUGAGUAUAAUUAGAGCACUCAAUUAUUUAUUUCAAUUUUUUUCUAUUCUAUAAGUAAUUUUUUGGCAUUCCAUAUGAAGGAUUUAGAUCAGAUUAAUGGGUUGUAUUGAAAUUGUUCAAUCAAACUUAAAUUGUUCUUGUAAAAUAAUUGACUUCAUAGUAAAAAAUUGUAAUUAAUUUAAUCUUUAAUUGAAAAUUAUCAAUUAAUUAAGUCAUUGUAAUAUGGUUAUUCAUUGAAGUGUCUAAGAAGUCGUUAAGUGCUAACAUGGAAAAUGAUAAUGUAUCGGUUGACAUGAAAAAAUAUUAACGUAAAUUGUUUAAUUGAUUUUUUAAUCAUUUUACAAUAACUUAAUUAAUUUUUAGAUAUUAUAUAAAAUUUCUAUAAAGUUUAUAAAAGUAGUAAUUUUUUUAAUUUUUAUAAUAUUUGAUAAUUUAUAAUAACUUAUACAAUUUCCUAUUUCUCAUAACUUUCUAAAUUUAUAAUGUUUUUAUAAAAAUUUAUUAUUUAUUUUUGUCUAAACUGAUACACUAUCUUGUAUCAUACCUCAAUAUAUUCUUAUCAACUUUCUUCGCAUCACCUUUCCACCAAACACUAAACUCAUUGGUAGGUUAGGUAUGUUGAAAAGUGAUCACUUUCUUAAAUAUUUAAUCAGUUGAAAAGUUGGAAAGUAAUCCUAACAUUUAAUAUAUCAAGUUUUAUACUUGAAAAGUAUUUCUAAUGUUUGAUAUGUCAAGUUUUAUAGUUGGAAAGUGUUUUUAACGUUUGGUAUGUUAAAUUUUAUUUACUUUUCCAAUGAAUAUGACAAUGUGAUUCUCAUAAUAAAAUGUGGAAAAUUUGCUUUCUUUCUCAUAUAAAUUGAAAAGUUAAAAAAAAUAUUAAGAAAAAACUAACCAUGUUUUAUAUUGGUUUAUGGCAUUUGUCUAUUAAUAAACGCGAAAAAAAAAAGGCUAGUCUCAUUCCUUUUACUUUGUUUUCUCUAUUACUUCAACAGAUUUUUCACAAAUAAUUUUUUCCUAGUAUUAUUUUUUAUAUGCAUAUUUAAUAUCUAUAUAGUAUAUUGUUUACAUAUUAACUUUAUUUUCUAUUAAUUUGUUCUCUCUUUUCUUUUUAAUAUAUUAAUUGAAAAUUCAAUUUUAUUAUAGUCUUUAAGAAUAUUUAUUAGCAAAAGGGAAAAAAAUUAAAGUUUAGGUUUAGCUCACUUAUUUAAUCAUUACCUUUAAAUUAUUUAUAGUUUUGCUUAGAAUAAUACUUGGAAUCAACUUUUGUUAUGUUCUUAUGAGUUAACCUUUAACUAAAAUAAAACGUGGUUUAAAGUAUUUUUUAAUUUUAUUCCAAAACAAGUUUAUAUAUACUUAAUUUUAUAUAUGCAUUAUUAUAUUUAGAAAUAUAUAUAUGCAAUAAAAUUUUAAAACAAUUUUGCUUUCAAUUAAAGUUAUAAAUUAAAAAAUAAUUUAAGAACUAUCAAAUAAAUUUUAUUAUUAAAUAUUUAAUCCAAAUAUUUGUUAAGAAUAAAUUUUAUUAUAAAAGGUAAAUACAUGAAUAUUAUAUUUUAUUUAAUAAAAUUAGAUUCGUAAACUAUAGUUACAGGAAAGUACUUAGUAAAUCAAAUGUGAUGAUAUAACUUUCUUGAUAUUUUAACCUAUACUUUUCUAUGUACACCAAACGUUAUAAAGUAACAUUAUAGGUAUCACAUUUCAAGAAAUCACAUCCCAUUAGAACCAUAACAUGAUAAAACACCAAACACUACGAUUGUCUCAUAAACCCCUUAUUCGACACUUCCUACAGGUGUGAUCACCAUCAUACUUUAAGUUGACCAUCAAAAUAAAUCAAACCUUCAAAAUAACAAACAAUUUUUUAACACUUUUAAUAGAAUUUUAUAACUUUUUAAACAAUUUCUAUAAAUUUUAUAUAUUUUUCUAUAACUUUUGUUUAUAGUUUUUAUAUUUUUAAAGUAAUUUUUUUUUAAUUUCUAAACUUUUAUAUUAUUUAUAUAAUAUUUGCAUAUAUUUCACAACAUAUUGUUAAUAUCUUAUAAUUGUUAUAAUUUUUAUAAUUUUCUAUUAUUUUCAAAAUUUUAUAUCAUUUUAAUAAUUUAUAGAUUUAAAUAAAUAUAAAAAGUAAUUAAGCCUUCGUCAAAUAAUUAAAGAUCUAUUAAGCUUUUCAUGUCGAUAUUUUUCCACAUCAUCUGCCACGCCAACCAUCACAUUAGCUACCACGUUAACACUUGACGACUUGUUAAGGGUUUUGACAGAAAAUCAUGUUACAUAAGCCCAGUUGACUACUAACUUUUGAUUAAGUGCUUAAUUGAUUGCACUUUUUACUUGGUGAUUCAAUUGAUUUUUUAAAUUAUUUUACAAUAUUUUUUUACUACUUAAGCUUAACAUUAAUAGUAAUAAUAAAAUGUUUCAUUCACCAAAAAUAAUAACAAAAAAAAGAAUAAAAUAAAUUAAAGAGUGAACUACCCAUUUAGCCACUCUAAAAUUAGGUCAUUCUUAUUUUUUUACCUUUUUUUGUUAAUUUGAACACCACCAAUUAGGGUGUUCAAACGAUCCGUUCUGUUAAUACUCGAAUUAAACCAAAAUUUUAAUCAUUAGGUGGCAAGGUUGUUACAGGUUAGUUGUCACCAUAUAGUGUAUUGUGUGGCCUUGUUUUAAUAAUCUCCUCCAUGAGGUUGUACGAUGUUAUUGCAUCUCAGUGGUCCCCACAAAAGAUACACAUUGAGGGAUCCUUUAGUGGUCCCUGCGAUUGGGUAUGCCAAUCAUUCGAAGCUAGUUCAAAUAGGAUACGUAGAGGGUUCCUUGUGGAUCAUUUUAGGCAAGAGAUCCUCAUGAAUGGUUCUCAAUAAGGGUUGUGUGCGGAUCGUGCUUAGCAAAGGGGUGUCUGUAGGUUGGAAAAAACCUGGUUUGAAAACUUUUUUUUUUGCACAGAGGAAAAUAAAAUUUUUGAAAAUCAAUCCAUUUUGUAAUAUUUAUAGCAAUAAACCCUUUACCAAACUUGCACAUGUGUUUUCUACUAGAUAAAUCCCUAUCAUUCUUGGCUUUCAAUCGAAUGACCUUCUCCGCUAUUCUUAUACCACAAAUUGCUUUGAGUGUGGGUUCGAAUGAUUUAAAUCAAACAUAGAUUCAAAAAUAGUUUUCUUUACUUUCAGUGUGCAGGCAAAUCUCUUCUCAAUAGAAACUGGUAAAAUUGUUAUUCCGAAAAAUAUAUUUAAUACUUAGAUAAUAAACUCUCACUAUUUUCGGAUAGACUAACAAUAUCUUAAAGUUGUAUAUUUAGCCCUACUGAUGUCAUUUAUUUAUAGGGGGAAGAAGUAAAAUGUAACACCCUAACUCAACCUAGACGCUAUGGUCGAAUUCGGGAGUGUCAUAAGGAAGAUUUUGAAAACAGAGUUACUUCGACAAAGCUUCGUAAUGAUGUUCAACAAAUCAUCCUAGUUUUAUAAGCCACACUCGUUUAUAUCAUUUUGUCAAAUGUGUUGUUUAAAUAAUUUAUUUUCAAGAACGUAACUUGUAGUGUAAGUCAUAGAAAACGUUAUUUUAGAAAUCACAUUUGUAAUUUUUGGAAAAUCUUUGUUUUAGUAAAACUCGCACUUUCAAACAUCCAUCAUAAACAAAGUUAAAACGAAAAUCCAAAAAUUUAACCGAAUAGUUCAGAUAUUACAAAACUCUCAGAACUAUUCCAUAAUUAAACAAAACCAUUAUUUAAAAGCAGUUCACAAACUUCUGGUCACCACGAGACUCCGCCGCACCAAUCUGCCUAAGUCUGGGGAUUACCUGAACAGAACAAACAAACAAAUGUGAUUUUUCGUAAACUCAGUGUAUAACCUCACAGGAAUAGACAUGCUACACAAACAGAAAUCACAUAUACAGUCAAUUACGGAUUCGGACUUAAGUCUAUUACAGAUACAGAUAUGCAGAUCAAAAAUACAGAUUCCUACCCCCAUUCUCUACACACCAACUCUGACCAUCCCUUCACACCGUGUGGGGUUAAAAACACUCACCCAUCCCUACACACUAUAUUGUGUCACUACGACACGUAACAGAUAAUAUGCAGUCAUACUGUCAGAAUAUAGGCAAUGGUCGCCACACAGAAUACUUCCUCUACAUAUACAAAUCCAACCCCAAACAUAAUUACAGAUAUAGAAAUAUCAUUUUUAACAUGCUCCCAUACAGAUAUCAAAUAUAUAUAUCACAAUAUAAGUAGACAUGCAUAUCAAUGUCCUACUCAGAACAAACUAUUAGAAUAUCAGAUCACAUAAUCUAAGGUUUGGUUAUCCCUUACCGACCUUACGGUAGGACCACAGUCGAUCGGAACAACCCGUGCAACCCCAGGGAAAAUUUCAGAAUUAUGGGCCCACAUACUCGUGUGGGCCCACACACCCAGAUUGACCUUGCCUGUAUGUCCCACACGACUUGACCCAAAACUCACACACCCGUGUGACCUGCCCGUAUAGCCCACACGCCCAACUUAGCCAAGCCCAUGUGGCCCACACGGCCACACUCACACCAUCACACGGCCAUGUCUUGCGCAUGACCGCACCUUCGUCAAACACACAGCCAAGCACAUGCCCGUGUGGUGUCGACAGAAAGCUUUUUUGGCUUUCAUCGAAACUCGAUUUUCAGUGAUUUGGGAACACACCUGGCACAGUUCUGAUACAAAACCACUCUCGAGACCACCAGCACAUAAAAGCAGAUUACCCAACACUAAUUUUGCAACCAAAAUACGAAUCAACAACACUAAACUGAUCAACGCUAAAAAACUUACCACUGCAAAAAUGACCAUACGCAAAACUAAAUCGUUUGAGCGAAAAAUACCGCUUCACCACCUUCCCUGCAUAACAGUCUGUAGAAAUCAGGUUCUCUACAAUCAACAUUACGCUACUACAAUGAAAAUGAAUUGGAAAUCUUACCGGAAAUGUGCAAAUGACAGAAAUGAAAAGUAAACCGAUUGAAAGAAAACGACGAAACAAAAAAAUGACAUAGAUGAAUAACAAAAUGGACCAAACAGUAAAGCCAAAGAGGGAUGGCAGAAACUAGCGUCAGAAAACUUGGAGGAGAGGGAGAACCAAAAAUUUUUGAAAAGAAAAAAAACAAAAAAUAAAUUUUGAAUAACCCCAAAAUUUCAACUUCUCACUAUCAUCUCAACCACAACUACCCACUCCCUCAGACUCCCAAUCCUAUCCAAACUCUCUCAACCAAACGAGGCAAAAAUUAAACUCACGCUCACGCAGGGGUUCAAACACAGGACCUCCAACACAUUAACUCCUUACAACUCGAACCAGUAGACUUAUUCUAAUAUGGAUUAACAAACAACUUAACAUAAGCCCAUUCCAUAGGAGUAAAGCUUGGAUCAAAAUAACAAAAUUUGGCAACAAUGAGACUUGAACCCAAUACCUCACACACGCUCCUAGAAUACUUAACCAUUGAAGCAGAUACACAUUUGUGUCAAAUAUUUAUAGAAACAGAAACAAAUUAAGUGGGGCGUUACAUAAAACUUUUGUUGAAUUGUAGAAGCAUAUUUCAAUAAAAAAACGUACUCCUAAUCUAACUAAGAGUAGGUGGGGUAACAACCCUAGUUAAACAAGCUAGAGUUUGUUGUCCCUUUCUUAAAUAAGAGUGGCUUUUUGGGUCUCUCCUAUAUCGGACCCGAUUACAAGUACUUCCUGGACUUUUAAUCUAGUACUUUAUAAUUCGAUUCAACCUCGUAUUUAUUUUUUAUUUCCCAAAAUAAAAUAUCAUAUUAAUUUAAAUAAAUUAAUUUCCCAAUUAAAUAAUCUUCUCAACCUAAUUCUAAUUUCGUUAAAAACAUGAAAAUUUUUUCGUAAAAGAAUUUAUGAGAAAAUAUAUUUAAUAUUUCUACAUUCGAUGGAUUUAUUAUGAUCAAAUGGUUUUUUUCUAUUUUCGAAAUUCAUUUAAUUCAAAAACCAUAAAUUCAUUUCCAAGUCAUUUUCAUUUUGGAGAACACCAUAUUCAUUUUCAAAUGUUUCUCAUUUCUCAUUUUUUUUUAUCAUUUCUAUCCAUUUCUAUUUAUUUGAUUUAACAUGCAAUUCAUUUUUGGUUUCAAUGAGCUAGGUAAGGGACCAAUUAGACUUAUGCGAUUAGAGCUCAAAUGAUUUAUAAUUAAGUUUUAGCUUUUCGCCUAUUAAUUAUAAACUCAUUUAGUCACGAAGCCAUUUUACUAUAGUAUCGUAACUAAGCUUUCUCCAGUGAUAUACCAUUACGAAAGCAACCGGAAUAGGGUACGAGGCAUUAUCAAAACACAUACACUUGUAAACGUAUUUAACCAAAUUAUAAAAUUUCAUCUAAAUUAAAACUUUCAAAAUAAUUAACAUGCUUCUAUAACUUUUCACAAUAUAUCCUCAAAAUAUUAUAAUCAUAAUAAUUAGGGCCUACGAGAUCCGAUACAUACUCAUGCAAUUCAAUGUUUCAUUUCCAUUUCAUUCAAUUCGCAACUUCUCAUGCUCACAAUUUAAAUCAAUUCACUAGCAAUUUCCAUUUAAUUCACGUACAAUUCAAUGACAUUAAGUUCAGCACUAAUACGUAUUUACCAUUUAACUCAACGUUUAUCGAUUAUACCGUUCAAUAACACAUUUAUGAAAUUCUCAAUUUUGUAAUGAAAAUAUCACUUUAGCUUAAAUAACAUCAUCCUGGUAUAAAUACACUACCACUUAUCCAUUUACUUUAAUUCGUUUGGGUCCAUUUGUCACUUACCAUCCUUAAUCAAAUUAGGGAACGGUUACGGAAAAUUGAGUAGUUCACUUUGACUUUGCCAUAGUAUAACUAUGGUCUUACGUAUGAUCACUUAUCAUUUGUCCCUGAUCAGAUAAGUGUAGUUAACGCUACCACUUAUCACUUAGUCACUUGAUCAGAUAAGUGUAGCUAAGGCUACCACUUAUCACUUUGUCACUUGAUCAGAUAAGUGUAGCUAAGGCUACCACUUAUCAUUUUGUCACUUGAUCAGAUAAGUGUAGCUAAAGCUAACACUUAUCACUUUGUCACUUGAUCAGAUAAGUGUAGCUAAAGCCAACACUUAUCACUUUGUCACUUGAUCAGAUAAGUGUAGCUAAAGCUACCACUUAUCACUUUGUCACUUGAUCAGAAGUACUCAAAUCCAGCGAUCCGCUCAAUUUGAUCAUUUAUUCAAUUUUCACAUUUUUAUUUUAUUCUCAUUUUAACAAUAAAUAUAUAUUUCAUCAUACAUUAUAUAAUUCAUGAAAUUAACAUUUAAUCAUUAAAUUUCAGCCAUAUGAACUUAUUAUUUCAUUAUAUUUCCACAUUUGUUUCUAUGCACAUCACAUAAGAUAUAAGCAUAUCAUUUAACCAUAGUUGCAAGCUAGUGUAUUUAAACAUAACUCUUUUUGGAACUAACCACACGAUAAACCAUUUCAAUGUAUAACUUAUAAAUUUAACGUGGCAUAAUCUAGCCACUACUUGGCCAAAGCCUAAGCAUAUAUACCAAAUAUGUUAGCCAAAUACACAUAUAUCACAAGCAUUAUAAGCAUGGAUGAGCACAACAUUUAUUCAUGUAUCAGGCUUACCAACAUGUGUUAAUUCAUAAACCAUUCAUGCCAUUAUUUCAUGCCAAAUCAUAUACCGAAUAUACCAUACACACAUACUAUGAAACUUUAUUUUCACACAUGAGCUUAAACCAUGACCAAUAAUGCACAAAUAUAAGCAUCAUUUCUAUUUCAUCGUUUAUCAAUUAAAAUCAAGCAUAUGACCAAUUAUACACAAAUCACUCAUAUAUUUCCCAAUUUUUCUCCUCCUCCUCUCCAUUCCACAUCCUUAAUGUGUAUAACACUUAAACAACAUUAGCUAUAAUUUCACUAUUCACUCACAUGUAUAUUCAAAACUAUUAAUCCGAGUCAGAGUCACUAAAUUAUUUUUAUCCGGAGCUACAGAGAUCCAAAUUAAGAUCCGUUAAUUUUUCCUGAAACUAGACUCACAUACCUUCUUACCAUCAAAUUUUCAGAAUUUUUGGUUUAGCCGAAUAGUACAGUUUAUUCUUUAAAGUUUCCCCUAUUUCGCUGUCUUAUAAUUCCGACCACUCUUUACUGAAAAUGAAUUAUCUAAUUGUACAGACUUUGGAUGAUGUUUCUGUUUAUUUCCUUUGAAAAUAGACUCAUUAAGGAUUCUAAGCAUAUAAAUUAUAACUCAUAAUUAUUUUUCUUCAAUUUUUGAUGAUUUUCCAAAGUCAGAACAAGGGAACCCGAAAUCAUUCUGACAUUGUCUCACAAAAUUUAUUAUAUCUCAUGAUUUACAAUUCCAUUACUUACACCGUUUCUUCUAUGAAAAACUAGACUCAAUAAGCUUUAAUUUCAUAUUUUAUUCACCCUCUAAUUCAAUUCCUACAAUUUUUGGUGAUUUUUCAAAGUUAUAUUACUGCUGAUGUCCAAAACUGUUUUAGUGCAAAAUGUUGAUUUCCAUUUUGCUCCAAAUUUCACAGUUUAUACAAUUCGGUCCUUUCUCAAUUAACCCCUCAAUUAAUCUAAUUUUCUCAAUUAAUACUUUACCUAGACAUUAUAAGUUGUUUCACAACUAUUGAAAUUCAGAAUUUCCACAUAUAACUCUGUCUUCAAACUCUUUUACUAUUAGGUCCCAAGCAUUCACUUUCUAUUCAAUUAUUUCAAUAAAAUCAGCAUAUGAACAAUUUAAAGCUCUAAUUCCAUGCUAAAUCAUCAUAUAUUUCCAACAUGUAUUCAUAUCAACUUUCAACUUCUUUCAUAGAAUCAAAAACUAAUGAAUACAACAAGUGGGCCUAGUUGUAAAAGUCACAAAAACACCAAAAUUUCAAGAAAUAAUCAAGAAUUGAACUUACCUGCAAUAAAAAUAGGAAGAACCAGCUUAAGGAAACCCUUCUAUGGUGUUUUUUCUGAUGAGAAUGCAGAAAAAUAAAGAGAAAUAUAGAUAAUUUCACUUUGGUCCUAACUUUAUUAAGUAAAUUUUGCAAUAUUCCAAUUUUACCCUUAUUUCUCCUUACUUUGUUGUUGAUUUCAUGCCUUUGCCAUCCAGCCCAAAUAGACCUUGGGUCUAUUUUCCUUUGAAGCCCUCUUCCUUUAAUCAUUUAAGCUAUUUAAUCAUUUCUCAUAAUUUUGCAUUUGUUACAAUUUAGUCCUUUUUAUUCAAUUAAUUAUCGGAACUUUAAAAUUUCUUAACGAAACUUUAAUAUUAACUUUUUAACACUCCAUAAAUAUUUAUAAAAAUAUUUAUGGCUCGAUUUAAAAUCUUUAAGGUCUCGAUACCCUUUUUUUUAUUCUAAUUAUUUAAAUAUUUAUUUCUAGUGCACUAUUCACUAUUUCAAAAAAUUUUCCUAACUUCACAUUUAACUUAUACUCACUAAAUUAAAAAUAUUUUCUACUCAUUUAUCGAAUUUAGUGAUCUCGAAUCACCGUUUCGAUACCUCUAAAAAUUCAGGCCAUUACAAAUUUUUUUCUCGUCGGAUUUGUUGUCCAAAAACCACUGUUCCGUCUAGACCCAAAAUCGGGCUGUUACACUUAAUCUCUUUGAGAUAAAUUUAUUCUCUCAAUAUGAUCCUAAUUUAUCUCAUGUUGACCAUUACAUCUUCCUUCAUAAAAAGUCAAUUACUAUCAAAUAGUAAUCAAGUCAUUCAUCACAAAGACAAACGACCCGUAACCACGUUUACUUUUCAUCAACCAUGUAAUGCCAAUGAAAGGAUAUUAUUUACUUAUAUCUCGAGCUAUAAAUUCUAUUGUUGUGAAUGAUGUUAUAUACUGCAGAAGUCGUAUACUUAACGUACUAGCUUUUGAUUCCUUAUCUAUUUGAACUCAAGCUUUUGCGUACAUCAAAGUAUACGAGUCACUCAUAUAUAGCCUGUUAUCCACUUAGGAUUAAGGUAUGCCACACUUUGAACGUCACAAGUGAAUAAUUCAUAAACAAACUCAGGAUCUAUUCUUUUUGGGUCCAGUCCAAUGUAUUGUCAGUCCAAUCAGUCACGUUUAUGUCUCUAUUUUUUGGGAGUCAUCCACUCCGAUGCCCAAGACUAUGUAUAUUCCCAAUUGGACUUAAUAGAUGAUAUAUUAGUCUUUUAAUUGAUUUGCUUAUUUUUUAUUAGACUAAUGACAUGUUUAUGUUUGUUUACUAAUAUAAGCUAUUUUUUUUGUAUUACAAUCUAACUACUUAAUCCUGCUUGAUAUUAGUUUAAACAUUAGACAACCAAUGAACUAAUAUUUGCUUGUAUUUUACUUUGCAUGCAAAAACCACAUGCGGACAAUUAUACAAAAUAUAUUAAUGUAAUCCAUGAAUUAUUUUAUUAAUCAAUUUAUUUGAAAAAAUUACAAGUUUAUAAACAAAUAUACUACAUUCAGGGAACCAUAUCCAACAAUAACACUGUCAUUAAAGAAAUUGAUUAAACUAGUCAUUCAACUGUUGAAUCCAUCUCUUCUAUCGUUAAAUCUAUUUUUAAUUCAUUUUUUCACUUGUUUUUUUCUAUCUCCUAUUCUUUUGUUCUUCUUCUCCAUUCUAACCUAGAAACCUUAGCCACCACCUCCCUUAAAAAUGUUAUUUUCAUUGAACCACCAUUGAUGAGCUUAAAAGUAAAAAGACAUCUCAAAAUUAGGUCUUAUAAAUUAAGGGGUUAAGAGAUCUUAGCAUGAACAUUCUAAAAUUUUGAGAGCGACUUCACAAUUUUUAGGGUUUUUUUGAGAAAUCUAACCCUAUAGAUUCAAAUAAGAGGCUUUGAGUUUCACUUUAGUGGUUUCUAGAUUGAUAGCCUGACACUAAAGAAUGUGUUGGAUGAUUAUGACAAUGAUGAUGAGAAGUGGAAGCCGCAGGUAAGGAGAAAGGAGAACGAAAAUAGGGAAAAUAAGGAAAAAGAAGAAGCAUCCCUCGGUGUCUUUCAUUAACAGGGACCAUGUUCAACAACAAUGAUUUGACAAAAGAAGAGGCUAUGGCUUCUGGGUUAGAAGGGAGAAAAUGAAAAAAAAAGUAAAAAAGAAAUAAAAAGAAGAAAAAUUAAAAAAAUAUAAAUUAAAAAAGAAAUGAUAUUAUUCUAAAUUUAAUAGUGAAGCAAUCAAAUUGGUCAAUUUUUUUAAUAAAAACGAGAAUGAUCUAAUUUUGGAGAGUCUAAUAGGAUAAUUUAUCCUGAAUUGAAAUAUAAAAAAAAUAGAGGGUCUAUUUGUUUGUGGGAAUUGAUUUUCCGGAAAUUGUUUUUCAACUUUUCCAACGUUUGUUUGCCGGAAAACAUUUUCCAUUUGGAAAAUGAAAUCCAAAACACGAGAAAACACCUUACAUUUUAGGGAAAAUGUAUUACCCUAUCAAUUUCCAUAAGACAUUUUCAAAGCUCUCCUCUCUAUCGAUUUUCCAGUCUCUCCUCUUUUAUUCCUUCAUUUCUGUUAGAAAACUUCCCUGAGAUUAUCGAUUUUCCAGUAAUCCUCCACUCUCCUCCUUCAUUCCUCUCUGUCGAUUAUCGCCGUGGUUGUCUGUGGGUUCGAACUCGUAUUGGAACCUGGACGAACGGAUAUCGCAACUGCUGCAGUGUAAGCCUUUAUCGGAGCAGUAGGUACAUAUAUUUUUUUCCCCCAAUGUAACGGAUUUGUUUCGAAUUUCUUCAUUUGCGGUUUGAUCUGCGGCUUUUGCCACCGAUCUAUUUUUUGUUUAGUAUUUUCUCUGUAUGGGGUCAGAUCCAUUUUAUUUUAUCGAAGACUUUGAAGGGAAAAUGAAAGCAAGAUAAGAUAUUUGUUGAAUUAGUUUUUGUUCCACUUGCUUUCACUGAUAUUGAUUCGUUUUGUUUGUUUAUUUUCUGGCUUUGUUUCAUUUCUCAAGAAAAAAAGUAUAUAUUCUUCCUGGAAUAUGUGUUGUUUGUUUUCACUGAUAUUGAUCCAUUUUGUUCGUUCAUUUUCUCGUAUGCUAACCAUAUUCAAUUGACUAAAGAAUUGGUUUUUGAGACUAGAAAUUAAUAGCCUCAAAAUGUUCUUAGAGGGUAGAAAUGUUCUGAAUUUCUCGACAAGUUUGGCGAAGUCUAUGGGCAUCAAUUACCCUUUUUGUUGGAUUUGGUCACGCUUAGGCUUCUCACAAUAGGAAGUUUUACACAAGCCUUGUUUGUCUAACUCCUGAAUUAAAUAGAACGCUCUUUGUUAAAGAGCCAGGUGCUGUAAUUUGAGUUAUGAUAAAUCAAUUUCUUGCUUGCUGGAUUGAUCUUAUUUGGACAGUUAUUUUAGUAGUCAAGCACCAUAUUUAGGCACCAAUGGCAAUACUGAGCUUGCAAAAGCCAACUUUCAUUGGGGCACAUGCAUUUUGUGUAGGCAUAAAGUUGUAGGCUUCUCUUAUGUUUCUUUUUUUUUUUAAUCUUUAAAUGUGAUGCAUUGCAUUAUCUAUUGAGGGUAAAAUGAAAUGUAUGGGGCAUGCCAGAGUUGGGACUGAAAAAGCUCAAAUAUGGUCCUGACAUGGUUUUAAUUUAUUUCUAUGCUUGACUUCCAGGUAUACAUUUCUUACUGUCCUAGCCUCUACCUCAUCAUUCUUACUCCUGUUAAUGGCAUUGGUUGAUAUUUUCAUAAGAGGUUGGUGUUGAGCAUAUUUGGAAUGUCUUAUUUCUUGAUUUUGGUCUGCCAAUGGCAUGGCAUUUGUGGUUGUUAUAUGUUUGUGGUGUGCUUGAUAUAUGAUUUGGCAUAAUAUGCAUUUGUGGUUGUUAAAAUUCGGUUCAAGUGAAUUAAGCAUGAUUGUUGGAUGUGUUUGGGUAUGGUUUAUUAUUGAUUUGCAUUUUUACUGUAAUUUGUUUAUGUAUUAUUGGCAGUGAUGAGCUGUUAUAUUUGGUUGAUGGUAGGUAAAUACAUAUGUGUCUAUGUCAUGAAUUUUGGUAAUUUUGGCAUGAUUUAUAGCAUAUGGAAUUGGCAUAUAGACUGAUUUGCUAAAUUACAUGAAAAAAAUGAUUAAUGUUAGUCAAGUGAGCAAUGUAUGAUUAAUGUAUGAAUUGGCAUAUGUGUCUUUCUUUGGUUAGCACUUACUGAUCUGUUAGUAUUUGUUAGUAUUUGUUAGCAAUUAAUGAUCUGUUAGUAUUUGAUGCUAGAGAAAAGGGGUGAUGAAUGUUCAUUUGAUAUCUACCAUGUGUGACUUCAAAGGAAGGUCAUGUUGUAACAUUGAUUGUAACAUCCCGAUUUUGGGCUUAGUCGGAACAGUGGUUUCGGGACCACAAAUUCGAUGAGGAAAAAUUUAUUUUUCUUAUAUUUUUAUGGUCUACGAUUUCACGGAAUGAUUUUGUGAAAAUUUUGUUCAAAAAUUUCGACGUUUGGGCACUUAAUUUAGUCAAAUGACUAAAUUGUAAAAAGUGCAAAAGUUGAGCUCUACAUGUUAGAGGUGGCGAAUUGUUAUGAAACUUGAAAUUGGAGGUCCUUAUAUGGUAAUUAGACCAUUGGUUAAGUUGGUAGACAAAAAUGGACAUUAGAUAAGUGAAAUAGGAAAUUUUUAAGUUAGGGACAAUUUGGUAAUUUAGUAAUAAAAAGAAUUAAAAAGGGAAAAAGAUGGCAAAAUGUGCUCAUCUUCUACCUGGUGAACGAAAAUAGCAACGGGGAAGCCAUAGUUAGGGUUUUCAAGCUUCCAAGCUCCAUAGUAAGUGAUUUCAAGCCCUGUUUUUAAUGUUCUUUACAUUUUUAAAGUCCCGGUAACUUGAUUUAGCUUAUUCUAGCAAUAAUUUAACCUAUGAUAUAUAUUUGGAAAAAUACCCAUGGUGAAAUGUGUUUAUUUUGAUGCUUUAUGGUAGAAUAUGAAGCUUGAAAUUAUGUUAAACAACUUUAGCUAAGCGAUUUUAAGUGAAAACGAGUAAGACGACAUAAUUGGUAAAAAUAUCUAAUGUUCAUAAGUAAGUGUUAGAGUAAGAAUUUGAUGUUGUCAUAGAAGGGAAAAAUGUUCAGCAUGUUAUAAAACAUAAGAAAAAUAGAUGAAGUUUAAUUUUUGAGAUUUGGGGCAAAAGUGUAAUUAUGCAAAAGUUUAAGGGUAAAAUCGUAAUUUUUCCAAAGUUCGAGUCAAGGAUUGUUUUGAUGAAUCUGAGUAUUAAAUAAGCUAAAUUUUCUAUUAUAGAUUAAGAAGAACGAAAUUCGGAGUUAGACCGGGGAAAGAAAAAGAUAGAGGACUAAGUUGUUAGAUUUGGUCAAAUUUUGUACUGAGGUAAGUUUACGGUAAAUAAAUGUAAUAUUUCAAUAAUUAUUAUUAAUGCUGUUAUUUUUCUUCAAUUAUAUGUUUAUUUCAUGAAUUUAUUUGAUGUCGACUCAAGUAUGAGACGAUAGAGAAUUAGUAUUAAAAAGUCCCGUUGAAACAUUAGGAAAGUAUCGGAUACAAAUGUCAUGACAUUUGGGUAAAGAGAUCCCAUGUAAUACCAUGUCUGGGACAUGGCAUUGGCAUCUUUGAGAUUAUGAGGGGUCCCAUAUAAGACCAUGUCUGGGACAUGGCGUUGGCACCGAGAUGAGAGGUUCCCCGUAAGACCAUGUCUGGGACAUGGCAUGGGCACCGAUAUGAGAACUCCCAUGUAAGACCAUAUCUGGGAUAUGGCAUUGGCAGUACAAAAAACAUCCCAUGUAAUACAAUGUUUGGGACAUGGCUUUGGCAUGUUAUUAUCAUAUAUGAGACCCAAGUAUCCUUAGUAUUCCAAUGUGGCUCAACGGGCUAGAAAACAGAUUAUGUUCUAUGGAAGUUCAAGUAAAAGUAUAAUUAGCAACUUCAAGUGAGUUAUAAGAGUUAAGAAUAUGUUAUGAUAUCAGUGAGAACCAAUAUUUCAGCAAGAGAAGAGUAAGUUGUAAUCUUAAGCUAUCUAAAUAGGUAAGUAAAUAAACAAGUAAAUGAGAGUAAGUAAAGAGGAAACUUAAUAACAUGAUACUUGCAUAUCAUUAUUUGUGUUAAAUGUUGUUAUUUAUUUACUUGUAAACUUACUAAGCUUUAUGCUUACUUCUUUUAUUUCUUUUUCUUUCAUAUAGUAUUAUCAAGCAUAGUCGAGAUCUUGAAGACGUCGGAGAGCAUUCACACUAUCAACCACCACAACUCAGUAUUUUAAGACGAUAAAUGUUUCGAGCUAUAGCAUGCAUAGGGACUUAGUCAUUUCGAUUGUAUAUUCUUAAAUUAUGACCAAAAGAUGAUAUGUAAAUAUUUGAUGAUGAACAGUUAUUAAAAUGGCUAAGUAUGAAGGUGUUUGUUGUUAUAAAAGUCUAGGUGAUAAAUUAUGCAUAGAAAUCAUGAAAAAGCAAAAAUUGGCAGUGAAUCAGUUUCGAGACAAUAGUAGUGACGUGAUUUUGAAAAAUCACCAAAGAUAGUAGAAAAUGAAUUAGAGGGUGGAUGAGAUAUAGAAUUAAAGCUUAUUGAGUCUACUUUCAUAGACAAAUAACAGUAUAGACAAAGAAAUUAUGUAUUCUGAGAUAUUUUCAUUUUAGUUAGACAAGGUCAAAGUGGUUUUCGGAAUCCCCUGUUCUGAAUUUGGAAAAUCAUUAAAAAUUGUACAAAAAUAUUUAUGAGUUGUGAUUUAUAUGUAUAGAUUCCUUAUUGAGUAUAUUUUCUUUAGAAACAAGUUAGAACACCAUAUGAAGUCUGUACAAUGAGAUAAUUAAAUUUUAGUGACGAGAGGUUAGGACAAUGGAUCAGUGAAAUAGGGGAGACUUUAACUAAUAAACUGUACUAAUUGGCUAAACCAAAAAUUUUGAAAAAUUUAUGCUAAAAUGAUAUAUGAGUCUAGUUUUAGGGAAAAUUUACGGAUCUAAAUUUUGAGUUUCGUAGCGCAAGUUAUAAUUAAAUUAGUGACUACUGCGCAGGUGCACA
rnacentral:lncRNA from 1 species